rnacentral:rRNA from 1 species
AACGAACGCUGGCGGCAUGCCUAACACAUGCAAGUCGAACGAGACCUUCGGGUCUAGUGGCGCAUGGGUGCGUAACGCGUGGGAACCUGCCCUUAGGCUCGGAAUAACUCUCCGAAAGGGGUGCUAAUACCGGAUAAUGUCCUCGGAUCAAAGAUUUAUCGUCCUUGGAUGGGCCCGCGUUGGUUUAGCUAGUUGGUAGGGUAAAAGCCUACCAAGGCGUCGAUCCAUAGCUGGUCUGAGAGGAUGAGCAGCCACACUGGGGCUGGGACCCGGCCCAGACUACUGCGCGAGGCAGGAAAGGGGAAUAUUGGACAAUGGGCGAAGGCAUGAUCCACCAAUGCCGCGUGAGUGAUGAAGGCCUUAGGGAUGUAAAGCUGUUUUACCCGGGAUGAUAAUGACGGUACCGGGAGAAUAAGCACCGGCUAACUCCGUG